CCGAGCUCCAUCACUGCUCUCUGGGUUCAAGCCCAGGGUGGGGGUGGGGCGAGAGGAACAGCAGAGCUGCCUUGCAGGUCACUGGGCAAAUGCUUCACUGCUUUCUGAGGCGAGUCCAAGUCUGGAAAGAGAACGUUAAGAAGAAAUUUCCAUAGCCCUUCCCCCUGCCGGGGAUUUUCCACUGUGCCUGGGCGGACAUGCCUCUCGGUUUUCCCAGUGAGGGGAUCUGGCAAUCCAUGGGUCUUACUGAACAAACAGCUCAGCUCAGUACUAGGAGGCAGACGAGGCUGCAUGUGACCAGACCAUCUUUCAGCGCUGAAUCUUCCUGAAUCUUGCUGAAUCUUGCUGAGUCUUGCUGAAUCUUCCUGAGUCAUGCCUUUUAACUGGGACUCAGGAUGCUGGGAACCCUGGAGCUGCAGAAGACUGCACAGGGAGCCCACACGCAGCCCCACGAUGGCCACGGCAAAGUGGAGAGGUUCCGUCUGUACCACAAUUUGGCGUCUCCAGAUCAAGUCAUGCCUGGAGUUUUCAGUUUCCUAAGCCAGCACUUCCCUUCUUAGCAUAAACCAGUUUGAGUCAGGUUUUCUGUUAUCUGCAUCAGAAAAAGUCUGAAAUUCACAUGGUAAACUUUCUUUUCUAUAAACUUGAGUUUGCUCAUCUGCAACAUGGAGAUAACUGUUAAUAGUGUCUUUCAGGAGCAAAGGACUGUUCUGGAAUGAUGAAAAGGGCUGUUCAGGGUUCAAUACAAUAUAAAUAUAAAACCUGA